AGCUGCGCAACGACUCAAAUGGGCAGUUCGUACGUUGAAGAAAAAGAAAAUGAAGCUGCUUACCUUGCAGUAUGCCCUGAAGAAGAUGCCAGAAAAGACUUCACAAAUCAGCGCAUCUGUGUUUGAGAAAAAGCUGAAACUUCUUCCAAAAAAGCAACUGGCUGCGGUGCAGGCUUAUUUUGACGCUGGUAAACGGAGGUCAUUGCGUAGAUAUCGCUACAAUAAAGAAUGACUCCUUGAGUGUAUCAUCCUCAGAAUGAAAA